rnacentral:rRNA from 1 species
CCUACGGGAGGCAGCAGUGGGGAAUAUUGCACAAUGGGGGAAACCCUGAUGCAGCGACGCCGCGUGAGUGAAGAAGUAUUUCGGUAUGUAAAGCUCUAUCAGCAGGGAAGAAAAUGACGGUACCUGCUUAAGAAGCCCCGGCUAACUACGUGCCAGCAGCCGCGGUAAUACGUAGGGGGAAAGCGUUAUCCGGAUUUACUGGGUUAAAAGGGUGCGUAGGCGGAGUGUCAAGUCAGCGGGAAAAUUUCGGGGCUAAACCCCGUCGUGCCGUUGAAACUGACGCCCUUGAGUGAGUGAGAAGUAAGAGGAAUGCGUGGUGUAGCGGUGAAAUGCAUAGAGAUCACGCAGAACGCCGAUUGCGAAGGCAGCUUACCGGCGCUCAACUGACGCUGAGGCACGAAAGUGCGGGUAUCGAACAGGAUUAGAUACCCCAGUAGUC